rnacentral:misc_RNA from 1 species
GAUGAAGAACGUAGCGAAAUGCGAUAAGUAAUGUGAAUUGCAGAAUUCAGUGAAUCAUCGAAUCUUUGAACGCACCUUGCACUCCUUGGUAUUCCGAGGAGUACGCCUGUUCGAGUGUUAUGAAGCUCUCAAAACGCAAUUGGCUUAAAACCUGAUUGUUGUUUUGGAUUUGAACUUUGCCGUGUUAUAACGGCUGGUUUUAAAAGUAUUAGCUGGUACUAGAACGAAUUGGUUCUACUCAACGUGAUAAUUAUCUGAUCGUUGAGGACAUUCCUUUCACGAGGAAUGGCCAUAGUAAAUUCAAUGGACUGCUUCUAAUCUGGCUUUAAUUCUUUAUUGGAUUAACCACUUUUCAAAUCUGACCUCGAAUCAGGUGGGACUACCCGCUGAACUUAAGCAUAUCAAUAAGCGCAGGA